GCCAGAGUGGUAUUGUGGUUUGAGUGCUAGACUAGGACUCUGAGAAACCAGGGUUUGAAUCCCUGCUCAGCCA